AGAUUUCGGUCAAAUGAAGUUGAGGACAGUGGCGGACGGGUGAGUAACGCGUGAGGAACCUGCCCAUCAGAAGGGGAUAACACUUGGAAACAGGUGCUAAUACCGUAUAACAAUCGAAACCGCAUGGUUUUGAUUUGAAAGGCGCUUUCGGGUGUCGCUGAUGGAUGGACCCGCGGUGCAUUAGCUAGUUGGUGAGGUAACGGCUCACCAAGGCCACGAUGCAUAGCCGACCUGAGAGGGUGAUCGGCCACAUUGGGACUGAGACACGGCCCAAACUCCUACGGGAGGCAGCAGUAGGGAAUCUUCGGCAAUGGACGAAAGUCUGACCGAGCAACGCCGCGUGAGUGAAGAAGGUUUUCGGAUCGUAAAACUCUGUUGUUAGAGAAGAACAAGGAUGAGAGUAACUGUUCAUCCCUUGACGGUAUCUAACCAGAAAGCCACGGCUAACUACGUGCCAGCAGCCGCGGUAAUACGUAGGUGGCAAGCGUUGUCCGGAUUUAUUGGGCGUAAAGCGAGCGCAGGCGGUUUCUUAAGUCUGAUGUGAAAGCCCCCGGCUCAACCGGGGAGGGUCAUUGGAAACUGGGAGACUUGAGUGCAGAAGAGGAGAGUGGAAUUCCAUGUGUAGCGGUGAAAUGCGUAGAUAUAUGGAGGAACACCAGUGGCGAAGGCGGCUCUCUGGUCUGUAACUGACGCUGAGGCUCGAAAGCGUGAGGAGCAAACAGGAUUAGAUACCCUGGUAGUCCACGCCG
rnacentral:rRNA from 1 species